AGAGUUUGAUCAUGGCUCAGGAUGAACGCUGGCGGCGUGCUUAGCACAUGCAAGUCGAACGAUGAUCCCAGCUUGCUGGGGGAUUAGUGGCGAACGGGUGAGUAACACGUGAGUAACCUGCCCUUAACUCUGGGAUAAGCCUGGGAAACUGGGUCUAAUACCGGAUAUGACUCCUCAUCGCAUGGUGGGGGGUGGAAAGCUUUAUUGUGGUUUUGGAUGGACUCGCGGCCUAUCAGCUUGUUGGUGAGGUAAUGGCUCACCAAGGCGACGACGGGUAGCCGGCCUGAGAGGGUGACCGGCCACACUGGGACUGAGACACGGCCCAGACUCCUACGGGAGGCAGCAGUGGGGAAUAUUGCACAAUGGGCGAAAGCCUGAUGCAGCGACGCCGCGUGAGGGAUGACGGCCUUCGGGUUGUAAACCUCUUUCAGUAGGGAAGAAGCGAAAGUGACGGUACCUGCAGAAGAAGCGCCGGCUAACUACGUGCCAGCAGCCGCGGUAAUACGUAGGGCGCAAGCGUUAUCCGGAAUUAUUGGGCGUAAAGAGCUCGUAGGCGGUUUGUCGCGUCUGCCGUGAAAGUCCGGGGCUCAACUCCGGAUCUGCGGUGGGUACGGGCAGACUAGAGUGAUGUAGGGGAGACUGGAAUUCCUGGUGUAGCGGUGAAAUGCGCAGAUAUCAGGAGGAACAACAGAAGCGAAGGCGGCUCUCUGGACUAUAUCUGACGCUGAGGCGCGAAAGCGUGGGGAGCAAACAGGAUUAGAUACCCCGGUAGUCC
rnacentral:rRNA from 1 species